rnacentral:rRNA from 1 species
CAUGUCCUUUUGAAUAUAAUUUAAGGUCUAAUCUGCUCAAUGAGGGUUUAAAUAGCCGCAGUAUUUUGACUGUGCAAAGGUAGCGUGAUAAUUAGUUUCUUAAUUAGAGACUUGAAUGAAUGAUUGGACAAGAAAAUAUCUGUCUCUUUUCAAUUUUUUAUGAAUUUAAUUUUUAAGUUAAAAUUCUUAAAUGAUUAUAAAAGACGAGAAGACCCCAUAGAGUUUUAUUUUUAUUAUAAUUUAGUAUCAUUAUUUAAAGGAAAAAUUAGUUGGGGUGACUGAAAGAUAUAAUAAACUCUUUUAAUUAAAAUCAUUGAUUUAUGAAUUUUAAUUCUAAUUUGAUUAAAUUUAAAUUAAAUUACCUUGGGGAUAACAGCGUAAUUUCUUUUUAGAGUUCUUAUCAAAUAAGAAGAUUGCGACCUCGAUGUUGGAUUAAAAUUUAUUUUGGGUGUAGAAGCUUAAAAAUUAAGUCUGUUCGACUUUUAAAAUUUUACAUGAUCUGAGU